UCUAUUUCAUGAAAAUAAGGUUUCAAUUAACAUUGUCAAACUUAAAUAAAUAAAGGAAGUAGACCAAAAAAACAAGUAAAUACUCUUUUCUAUAUAGUAAUCUUUAAUAUUCAUAGUCUAAGAAUUUUCCUCUAUUUCAUGAACUUCUUCAACCUUCUUCUUUGUCUUCUUUGCCUAGACAGAAAAAACAAAUGGAGAUACACAAUCACGGAUAAUGAGUAGGUACUUUCGGAUUUGAUUAUUCUAGCAAGAAUAAUUAUGCAUCUCAAUGGACUUUAACAACACCAGAGAAAACUUUGCAUGUAUUUACCAAAUAUUUAUUUAGCUAGUAUAUCCCAUAAUUGUUGUGAAAUUGAGAAUUUGAAUUUUCAAAGAAUAUACUAUAUACAAAUAUAAGUUAGUGUAGAGCUUAGAUGUUUACUGAACUUGUAAGAAACACAUCCAAACUCUAGAAAGAUAUAUCGAUGUACAACUAAAAUAUGCAAAAAAAAAUGAAAAACGGAUAUUGUAUUUGGAGCUGAGCAUUUGAGACACUUGAGUUGCCAAUUGCUUCUUCUCAAGCCAUGCUUGUUAUAUAGUUGCAUUCUUAAGCCAUUUUUAGUUAUAUAUUAAGUCAUAAAUUGUACUUUAAUGUGGUGAUCAAAAUAUUGUAACUUAUGAGAUAUAAAGGGUCAUAAAUUUUUGGAUCAAAGUACUCCUAAAUAGUGUUUAAUACCUUAUUACGGUUAAGCAGCUAAGAAAAUGUUAAGAGUAUGCAUUAAUGGUAAUCUAUAAUAGUAAAUAUAAUAAUUUUUUAUUAUCAAAAACAUAUAAAUAGUGAUAACUUUGUACUCUAAAACAUAAUAUCAUGUCAAAAUUUUAAAGAUUUGAUUUUGUAAUUAGUUAAGGGAGUUGCAAUUAUGGUAGAAAAAAAUUCAUUUUAAAAUUGUAGUUUAAUAUGUAGUAAUUUCAUAGUUUAAUGACUAUUUUUCUAAAUAUAAGAUAUAUCUAUUAAUAAAUUAUUUUAGUCAAAUUAUAAUUAAUGAUAAGUACACGUAUCAUCAAAGUAGAGUGUCAAAUAUCGCAUUGGUAGGCAAAGUUAGAAAAAACUUUCUCUUAUUAUAGAAGAUUUUUAUCUAACCAGACUUCUUGUAAAUCCUUCUUAUGGGUCACAAACGCACAAUCAAAUGCGGAAACAUAAAAUAUUCACUUGCUUUAACAACUACUAGCUGUAAACCAAACUUAACAAAGAGGUAAGCGAAACAUUUCACUAUAAUUAGUAGGAUCAAUAUGAAAGAAAAACUUUUUCUAUAUUUAAUCUAAAUUUAGCUAAAAGAGUUUCCAUAUGAUAGUCAUCAUAAUAUUUCACGAUAAUGUCAAUAUAGAAUAUACAAUAUUUCUACCAAUAUAAAUUAGAAAAACGAGAAUGGACAGAAACGUUAGGAGAUUUCAGUACACGUCAGUGAUUAAUCCAACGUAUGUACAAAUUCGAUCAUUUAGAAUAUGAUUAUCUUCCCUUUUUUUCUUUAGUUUCAUAUAUAACUUGAAACAAACAAAUUAAUUUUCAUUGAGAAUGCUUCACUGCUCGCUCUUCUCUUCUUUAAUUUCAUAGUCACAACAAGUUGAUCAAAAUAUUAAUAUUUAACAGAAAAAAUUAAUCCACAUUGAGACUAUUUCUCUACUCCUUUUUCUUUAAUUCCAUAAUCACAACAAGUUGGAAAAAAUCAAUCCAAAUAAGUGUUUUUGUCAAAAGACCAAUUCAAUAUUGAUUCAUUCAUAUACUAACCUCGUGCGAUCGAGAGCUAAAGCUAAUUGCAAUAAAUCUCUUUGUAAUUUAAGUAAUCCUUAAAAAAAAACUAUACAAAAUGCCUCUUACCGAGAUUAUCGCAGGGGCUGCUCUUGGACUUGCUCUCCAAAUCCUUCACGAGGCCAUCCAAAGAGCAAAAGAUAGAUCCUUAACCACA
rnacentral:lncRNA from 1 species